rfam:Schistosoma curassoni strain Dakar, Senegal genome assembly, scaffold: SCTD_contig0003551
AGCUUUUUGAAUCCGUGCGGAGAUUUCAUCAGACAUCAACCCAUUAGGGCCGAUCAGACUUCCAAGAUUAGUGAAGUU